GAUGAACGCUGGCAGCGUGCCUAAUACAUGCAAGUCGAGCGAACAGACGAGGAACUUGCUCCUCUGACGUUAGCGGCGGACGGGUGAGUAACACGUGGAUAACCUACCUAUAAGACUGGGAUAACUUCGGGAAACCGGAGCUAAUACCGGAUAAUAUAUUGAACCGCAUGGUUCAAUAGUGAAAGACGGUUUUGCUGUCACUUAUAGAUGGAUCCGCGCCGCAUUAGCUAGUUGGUAAGGUAACGGCUUACCAAGGCAACGAUGCGUAGCCGACCUGAGAGGGUGAUCGGCCACACUGGAACUGAGACACGGUCCAGACUCCUACGGGAGGCAGCAGUAGGGAAUCUUCCGCAAUGGGCGAAAGCCUGACGGAGCAACGCCGCGUGAGUGAUGAAGGUCUUCGGAUCGUAAAACUCUGUUAUUAGGGAAGAAUAAAUGUGUAAGUAACUAUGCACGUCUUGACGGUACCUAAUCAGAAAGCCACGGCUAACUACGUG
rnacentral:rRNA from 1 species